rnacentral:rRNA from 1 species
AGUGAACACUGGCGGUAGGCCUAACACAUGCAAGUCGAACGGCAGCACAGUAAGAGCUUGCUCUUACGGGUGGCGAGUGGCGGACGGGUGAGGAAUACAUCGGAAUCUACUUUUUCGUGGGGGAUAACGUAGGGAAACUUACGCUAAUACCGCAUACGACCUACGGGUGAAAGCAGGGGAUCUUCGGACCUUGCGCGAUUGAAUGAGCCGAUGUCGGAUUAGCUAGUUGGCGGGGUAAAGGCCCACCAAGGCGACGACCCGUAGCUGGUCUGAGAGGAUGAUCAGCCACACUGGAACUGAGACACGGUCCAGACUCCUACGGGAGGCAGCAGUGGGGAAUAUUGGACAAAGGGCGCAAGCCUGAUCCAGCCAUACCGCGUGGGUGAAGAAGGCCUUCGGGUUGUAAAGCCCUUUUGUUGGGAAAGAAAAGCAGCAGGUUAAUACCCCGCUGUUCUGACGGUACCCAAAGAAUAAGCACCGGCUAACUUCGUG